rnacentral:rRNA from 1 species
GAUUUCUGAUAUAAUAUUACUGUCCCGCUGUGGUUACACAUGUGAGUGACGGAUAAUAUUUAUCUGUUUUGUGUUUUUUGUAUUAUGAUGUGAAAGCAUUCUAAUAACAAUACACAUCUUUUACUUUGAACAAAUUAGAGUGUUUCAAGCAGGCAUUUAUGCCUUGAAUACAUGAGCAUGGAAUAAUCAUCGAGGACUUUUAGUUCUAUGUUGAUUGGUUCUAGAACUAUAGUAAUGAUGGAUAGGGAUAGUUGGGGGUGCUAGUAUUCCGAGGCCAGAGGUGAAAUUCUUGGAUUCUCGGAAGACUCACUUAGGCGAAAGCAUU